AUGCGUGAUCAGGUCGGCCUGGACCUGGACGGCUUCCCUCUCGACCAUGAGUUUCCGGAGGACUACGGGCUAGAGGAAGAGGACUAGUGCGACAUCGAAGGGGAGCCUUUGUUCAAGGACGAGCUUGCCAACCAAGCCAUCGGGCCGAAGCCGAAUCACAAGAGCAAGCGGACCAAGGCAUAUACGGUGGCCGAGGACAAGCUUCUUUGCGAGUGUUGGAGAGACAUCGGGCAAGACCCCAAGACGGGCGCCGAACAAAAGCAUUCAACCUUUUGGAUUCAUGUCCACCGUGAGUUCCGUGAGUGCAAGAAGUUUUCGCCGUACCAAAUAGUAAGCGCGCGUGGGUGGGUGUCCAUUUCAAAAUGA
rnacentral:rRNA from 1 species